rfam:Ornithorhynchus anatinus chromosome 1, whole genome shotgun sequence.
CCCCUCUCAGGGUCGCACCUGGAGAGUUUCCAGUCCUCUACCAGUCUUGGUUAAGGGAGGGAGAGUCAGGCAGAGGCCUACCCAGUCCAUUCCUAGCUUGGGUGGUGGCUAACGAGUGGAAGGCAAUCUGCUACAAGU